CACGGGUGCUUGCACCUGGUGGCGAGUGGCGAACGGGUGAGUAAUACAUCGGAACAUGUCCUGUAGUGGGGGAUAGCCCGGCGAAAGCCGGAUUAAUACCGCAUACGAUCUACGGAUGAAAGCGGGGGACCUUCGGGCCUCGCGCUAUAGGGUUGGCCGAUGGCUGAUUAGCUAGUUGGUGGGGUAAAGGCCUACCAAGGCGACGAUCAGUAGCUGGUCUGAGAGGACGACCAGCCACACUGGGACUGAGACACGGCCCAGACUCCUACGGGAGGCAGCAGUGGGGAAUUUUGGACAAUGGGCGAAAGCCUGAUCCAGCAAUGCCGCGUGUGUGAAGAAGGCCUUCGGGUUGUAAAGCACUUUUGUCCGGAAAGAAAUCCUUGGCUCUAAUACAGUCGGGGGAUGACGGUACCGGAAGAAUAAGCACCGGCUAACUACGUGCCAGCAGCCGCGGUAAUACGUAGGGUGCGAGCGUUAAUCGGAAUUACUGGGCGUAAAGCGUGCGCAGGCGGUUUGCUAAGACCGAUGUGAAAUCCCCGGGCUCAACCUGGGAACUGCAUUGGUGACUGGCAGGCUAGAGUAUGGCAGAGGGGGGUAGAAUUCCACGUGUAGCAGUGAAAUGCGUAGAGAUGUGGAGGAAUACCGAUGGCGAAGGCAGCCCCCUGGGCCAAUACUGACGCUCAUGCACGAA
rnacentral:rRNA from 1 species